rnacentral:lncRNA from 1 species
UAUCAACUCCAUCUGUCACAAAAAUUAAGGCUAAAUCUCCUCUCCAGAAGCAGAGGGAGCCGGGGCUCCGACGCGCUCAGCGUCGGGCUGUCUGCCUCUCCCUAGAGGCCAAGUGAAUUUGAAAUGGCAAAAGUCACAGCCGGAGGCCCAGCACUAGGAGAUUCCUCCGGCUGCGGGAAAUCUUCCUGUACCUGCUGAAGCUGCUGCGUUCCUCAGAGGCGCUUGGUCUGCCGUGGGAAGCUGCACCUCUGCAGUCCCCAAAACCAAAAUCAAACCUUAAAAGAGCCAGACUGAGAAGCCAGUCACCACGUAAGACAUCUGGACCACCUUCAGACUCGCAUGCUGUGAGGAAGCCCAUGCUUACUAUGUGUAGAGGAUACAUGGAGAAGGAAAGAGAUGCCUGGCCAGCUCCCUGCUGUUUCAGCCAUGCAGAGGUGCUGAGCAGCUAAUUGGAGGGGAUAGUAUGAGCCUCCAAAGAUUAGGGAAGAAAAUUGCAGUUGAAGAAAACUUGCUUUGGUUCAAUGCAAAAAUAAUGGGAUGAAUGGCAUGCUGAAAUAUCAUAUGACUUACGAAAAUGAUGAAUGGUUUAUUGAAUCUACAUAUGUGGAACCCAUGAAUGGGAGUCGGAGAAGGGGGCAACUGUAUACGCAAAAAGCUAUCAUAAUUGCCAAAAUAGUGAUAACAAUGUUGAAACACUACUGGGAUUACUACUGUUAAUGACUACCAGUGAUCAAGCACCUCCCCUGCCCCAGUGUUUGCCUGCCUUGUUUGAAGACACGAAAAAAUGUACACAAAAUGAUUUAGAACUGUUGAACUUUUCAGAAAAUAAUUUAAAAUCAUCUACCUCAUAACUAAAGGACACUGAAUUGGAGCCAGCUGAUAUGAAGAAACUGAGACCCCAAGAAUUUAAGUAAUUUGUUCAAGGCAACACACUGCUAUGUGGUAGAACUACAAAUUGAGCCCAAAUAAUCCAGCUUCAGAUACUAUGCAAAGGUAUCCUAGGUGUGGGGGUGAUAACCUGGUGACAAUCCCUUCUCAGAAGGAAAACAGGUCCCAUCUACAGAGGUGAAGCAGAGUGUGGAACUGAAAAACUCAAUGGAAGAAUGGCUAUUAAGAUUUAGGACGGCUGGGAAAUAAUAAAGUAAUAAUAAUAAUACUAGGUAUUGACGUGUGCUACAUGCCAGGCCUUGGGUGACAUUUGGAUUGAUUCCCAUUUUCUUUACUUUUCAGCAGUGGGGUCUUUCACCUUUCAAGCUCUGCCUGAGAAGUCAACAUGGUGGCAUUUGGCUAGGUUCUUUUAGGCAACCAAUUGUUUUAACAUGAUUUGUUGAAAAGCCUAUUCUCUCUUUCAUUGAACUAUAAUGCUAGCUCUGUCAUAAAUCAAAUUUUCAUUUGAUUUAUGAUAUGAAAAUUAUAUGCAUUUGAUUGAUAUGCAUUUUUUCUCCAAUGAUACUCAACUGUCUUAAUUAUAUAAUUUUGUAGUAAUUCUUGGUAUCUAAUUAGGCAAAUACCCACUCCCAACCCUGUUUCUUUUGUUUUUAAAUCCAGGGGUGUUUUGGAUAUUCUCGUUCAUUUGUGCUUCCACCUACAUUUUUCAGUUAACUUGUCAGGUACGAAAAAAUAAAAGGCAAAAUUUUUUAUCCUUAAAUCAAUUUGGGCAAGUUUGCAGUUUUUUCUUGUAUUGUAACUUCCAAUCUAUGAAUAUGAUCUAUUUUUUCACCAAUUUAUGGCUUCUUCCAAUAACAUUUUAUAAUUGUCUUUUUAGAGGCCUUAUCUUUUGUUUAGAUUCAUAUCUAGGUAUUUAAUAUUUUUGAUGCUGUUAUAAAUGGUAUUUUUAAAAAUAUAUACAUUUUUAACUAUUUCACAUAGAAAACUUUAAUGGAUUUUUAAAAUGUAGAUUUGUAUUCAGUAAACCUGUUAAAAUCUCUUAGAAUGUCUAAGAGUUUAUUUAUUCAAUUUGAUUUUCUUUUUUUUUUUUUCUCCUGGAGACGGAGUUUCGCUCUUGUUGCCCAGGCUGGAGUGCAGUGGCAUGAUCUCAGCUCACUGCAACCUCCGGCUCCCGGGUUCAAGCAAUUCUCCUGUCUCAGCCUCCUGAGUAGCUGGGAUUACAGGCUCCCACCACCAUGCCCAGCUAAUUUUUGGUAUUUUUAGUAGAGACAGAGUUUCACCAUGUUGGCCAGGCUGGUCUCAAACUCCUGACCUCAGGUGAUCCGACUGCUUUGGCUUCCCAAACUGCUGGCAUUACAGGCGUGAGCCACUGCGCCCUGGCCUAUUCUACUGGAUUUUCUAUGCAAUUGUGUUAUAACUCAUCAUAAAGAUAAUUUUAUUUCUUUUCCACAAUCUUUACAGGUUUAAUUUUUUUCUAUGCCUUGCUGCACUCUCUAUGAUUUCCAGUAUUGGCACUACUCUGGCCUUUGGUCUUUGCUCUUGCAUCAGCCUUUCAUAAUUGGGUAUGUUUGUUGUAAGUUUUCUGUAGAGAGUCUUUAUGAGGUUAAGAGAUUUGUUUCAUUUCUAGUUUAUUAAGAGAUUUUAUUAUAGAUCAAUGUUAAAUUUUAUCAAAAUUUCUCCAUUGCAUUUCUAUUGAGAUGAUCACAUGAUUAUUAAAAAUUAGUAUAAAGAUUUAUUAUUUUGAUAUUUUAAAAUCAGGUUUAUUGAGGCAUAAUUUAUAUAUAAUAAAAUUUACCCUAUUAGAGUAUCCAGUCCAGUAAGUUUUGGUAAAUGUAUGCGAAUAACACAAUAAACAGGUUUAGAACUUUUCCAUCACCACAAAAAGUUUAUCAGGCCCCUUUGCAGUUAAUACUCACCUUCUCUCCAGCCCCAGUAAACCAUGGAUCUGCUUUUUGUUACUGUAGUUUUUCCUUUACUUUGAUUUUUUUGAGUGUUAAGCCAGCCUUACAUUUCUGAGUUAACUUGGUCAUGAUAUCUUCUACAAACAUUAAUGAAUUUAGUAUGAUUGGCUGAUGCCUUUGCUUUCCUAUACUGUCCUUGCCUGGUUGGUACAAGGAUUAUAUAAUACUUAUAAAGUGAGUUGAAGACAGUUUCCUCUUUUCACCAGCUGGAAUAAUUUAUGUAUUAUUGAAAUUAAUUGCUCCUUAAAUACUUGGCAGAAUUCACUACAAAGGCACUUAAUUCUAGACCUUUUGGAGGAAGAUAAAAUACUGAUUUUUUAAAUCAUUAUUUUAUUUUUGUAAUACAGCUUAUUUUUCCAGAAACUUCUACUUUUCGUUUACAUCUUCAAGUCAGAUUAAAGUUGUAUUAAUAACCCCUUAUUAUUUAAAUCUCAGCAGAAUGUGAAGUUAUGUUCCCCCUUUGUAUCCAUUUUUUUCUCUAGAUAUUUUUCUGUUACCUGUUUUAAAUUUAAUUCCAUUGUGGUCAGAGAUAAUACUUUGUAUGACUUGCAUUCUUUUAUGUAUAUUGAGACUUGUUAUAAGGCACAGAGUAUGGUUUAUCUUGGUAAUCAUUCGUGGCACACUUAAAAAUCAUGUGUUUUCUGCUAUUGUUGAGUGGGAUGUUCUGUAACUGUGAAUUAGGUCAAGUUAGUUGACAGUGUUGUUCAAGUCUUUUAUAUUAUUACUGACUUUCUUUCUACUCACUCUAUCAAUUAGUGAAAGGUGUCAAUAUUUCCAGUUAUAAUCAUGGAUUUGUCUAUUAUUACUUUCAGUUAGAAAUUUCUAGCUGAAAUUAUCUAUUUCUACUUUCAGUUAGUGUUAGCUUGCUAUAUCUUUUUUCCAUCCUUCUUCUUUUAACCCAAUGUAUCUUUAUAUUGACAUUACAUAUAUGAUUUAUAUUAUAUUAUGUUACUAUAUCUUGUAUGCAGCAUAUAUUUGGAUCUUUUUUAUCCAAUCUGAUGAUCUUUGCUUUUUAAUUAAUGUAUUUAGAUCAUUUACAUUUACUGUGAUUAUUAAUAUGUAUUAAGUUCAAAUCUACCACUUUGGUAUUGAAUAUCUAAUUGUCCCAUUUGUUCUUUGUUUCAAAAAAACUCUUUUUUUGCCUUUUUUUAUAUCAAGUAUUUUAAAAUUCUAUUUCAUCUUCUUUGUUUGCUUAUUAGCUAUAACUUUAUUUUGCUAAUUUAGUGGUUGCUUUAGGGUUUAUAGUAAACAUCUUCAACUUAUCACAUUCUAUGUUCUAGUCAUAUUAUAUUAUUUAACACAUAGUAUAAAAACUUUAUUGUAGUAUACUUUCAUUUUCCUCCAGUAAUUGUGCGAUUCUUGUCAUCUAUUUUGCUUCUACAUGUUAUAAACUCUACAUGAUUUUGUAAUAUUUUUGUUUAAACAAUAUUUAUUUAGACUUAAUAAUAAAUAAUAAAAAUAUAUGCUAACCA